GGGCCUGAAGAGAGCAGGCGAAGAAGAGGAGAAGGUCGAGCGCGGGAUCACUGGAGGACGGAGCGGAGACACUGGACGGGGCAGGCCGGGGAAAAUUGCCCGCCCUCGCUCACUUGGCCCCGCACGUUGAAGCCGUAGCCGGACUCGGACUUGACGAUGCGCACGACCCGCGGGCCGCCGCCUCCCCCGCCGCCGUUCCCCGCGCAGUGGAGCCCGGAGCCCCCACCGCCGCCGCCGCCACCUCCGUUCCUGUGAGGGGCCGAGGGGUGAAUCCCUUCCCCGUCCUCGUCCGCCAUCUUGCGAGCGAGCAAGUCGUACCCCCGCCCCCCUACGCCUCCACUCCCUCCCCGCGCGCGCUCGCACUUCUCAGCAGCCGCGCGACCCCCAGCGCGCGCGCCCGCUCCGCUGCCCGCGGGACCCGAGUCGGCCACAGAGCUGCAGGCGGAGCACAGUAGAAUUCUUUGCCAGUGGCAGCAGUUGUUUUUGGGCAAACGACCCAAACGCAAACUCAGUCUGCAGAAUGCCUGGCAAAGGCAAGUAAGAGGAGCAAGAGCAAAAAUAAUAAAAAUAACUAACUUAA